ACAGGGGUCUCACUCUGUCGCCCAGGUUGGAAUGCAGUGGCGCGAUCAUAGCUCACUGCAAACUCCAACUCCCAGGUUCAAGCGAUCCUCCCGCCUCAGCCUCCCGAAUAGCUGGGACCACAGGCGCGCACCACUACGACCGGCUAAUUUUUUUUUCACUUUUUUGUAGGGACAAAGUCUCACUAUGUUGCCCAGGCUGAUCUCCAGCUCCCGGGCUCAAGCGAUCCUCCCGCCUCGGCUUCCCAGAGUGCUGGGAUUACAGGCGUUAGUCACCGCGCCUGGCCAAGCCCAGCCUUUUUCUAAAACUGAGUUUGCUUGGGUCGAUCGAGGUUUAUGAAAGCUCUGUCACCAGUCAGCGUCUCAAAAUGGGGUUGGCAGAAUCCCUGCUAUUGAGUAGCUGGAGAGCUACACGCUAAUCCUAGCUCUGCCCUUCCUGUCUGAGUGAUCUUUGUCAGUCAUUUAAAACCCACCCCGUCCUCAAUUUUUGUUGUUGUUGUUUACUUUUUUAUAGAACGCUUCACGUAUUUGCGUGUCAUCCUUUCGCAUAGUGCCAUGCUAAUCUCUGUAUCGUUCUAAUUUUAGUAUAUGUGGUGCGAAGUGAGCACCCAUCCUUAAUUUCUAUUCUAUAAAUUGGCAAUAAUUCUAAUCCGAGGAUCAGAGAUUAAUGCUUGUGAAGGGCCUGGUGCUGUGCCCAGCACAUAGGAAGUGUUCAAUAAAGUAGUCUGCAUGGUGGUGCAGUGGAAGGAUCCCAGGCUUUGGAGCCAGAAAGACCUCAGUUCCAGGCACAGAUGGACCAUUACCAACUGUAUGACCUUGAGCAAGUCAUUGUGUCACUUUUGAGAUUACCCAUGUGUAAAACAGGAAUGAUAAUACCUGCCCAGACUACCUCAGGGAAUGGUUAUGGGGUUCAGAUGAGCUGAUGAACCAAGAAGGUAUUUGGAGUUCACUUCCAGUCUUAGGAGACAAACCAUACAACAGGUUGACUGAAAGAGACCAUGGGA
rnacentral:lncRNA from 10 species